rnacentral:tRNA from 1 species
CCCGUAGCUCAGCUGGAUAGAGUACUGCCCUCCGAAGGCAGGGGUCGGACGUUCGAAUCGUCUCGGGUGCGCCA